rnacentral:tRNA from 1 species
GAGUCUUAGGGAGGUUAGUUGCUCUC